AGGUGAUUAUUUUAAUUAAAAUAUUUGAUUUCGGCUCAAAAGAUAGCGGUUAAAGUCCGCAAUCAUCUA
rnacentral:tRNA from 1 species